GGGGCCGUAGCUCAGUGGUAGAGCAGCGGACUCAUAAUCCGUCGGACGGAGGUUCGAUCCCUCCCGGCCCCA
rnacentral:tRNA from 1 species